rnacentral:rRNA from 1 species
CAGCCGCCGCGGUAAUACCGGCGGCCCGAGUGGCGGUCACUAUUAUUGGGCUUAAAGCGUCCGUAGCCGGGGUGGGAAGUCCUCCGGGAAAUCUGGCCGCUUAACGGUCAGAAUGCCGGAGGAUACUCCCAGCCUAGGGAGCGGGAGAGGCCGAGGGGAUUCCCGGAGGAGGGGUGAAAUCCUAUAAUCCCGGGAGGACCACCUGUGGCGAAGGCGCUCGGCUGGCACGCGUCCGACGGUGAGGGACGAAGGCCAGGGGAGCAAACCGGAUUAGAUACCCGGGUAGUCCUGGCUGUAAACGAUGCGGACUUUGUGUCGGACAAGCUAUGAGCUUGUCCGGUGCCGGAGGGAAACCGUUAAGUCCGCCGCCUGGGGAGUACGGCCGCAAGGCUGAAACUUAAAGGAAUUGGCGGG